GAUGGACGCUGGCGGCGUGCCUAAUACAUGCAAGUCGAGCGAACAGACGAGGAGCUUGCUCCUCUGACGUUAGCGGCGGACGGGUGAGUAACACGUGGAUAACCCACCUAUAAGACUGGGAUAACUUCGGGAAACCGGAGCUAAUACCGGAUAACAUGUUGAACCGCAUGGUUCAACAGUGAAAGACGGUCUUGCUGUCACUUAUAGAUGGAUCCGCGCCGCAUUAGCUAGUUGGUAAGGUAACGGCUUACCAAGGCAACGAUGCGUAGCCGACCUGAGAGGGUGAUCGGCCACACUGGAACUGAGACACGGUCCAGACUCCUACGGGAGGCAGCAGUAGGGAAUCUUCCGCAAUGGGCGAAAGCCUGACGGAGCAACGCCGCGUGAGUGAAGAAGGUCUUCGGAUCGUAAAACUCUGUUAUUAGGGAAGAACAAAUGUGUAAGUAACUAUGCACGUCUUGACGGUACCUAAUCAGAAAGCCACGGCUAACUACGUG
rnacentral:rRNA from 1 species